rnacentral:rRNA from 1 species
AUUGAACGCUGGCGGCAGGCUUAACACAUGCAAGUCGAGCGAGCGGCGGACGGGUGAGUAAUGUCUGGGAAACUGCCUGAUGGAGGGGGAUAACUACUGGAAAGGGUAGCUAAUACCGCAUACCAUCAGAUGUGCCCAGAUGGGAUUAGCUAGUUGGUGGGGUAAUGGCUCACCAAGGCGACGAUCCGUAGCUGGUCUGAGAGGAGGACCAGCCACACUGGGACUGAGCCACGGGCCAGACUCCUACGGGAGGCAGCAGUGGGGAAUAUUGCACAAUGGGCGCAAGCCUGAUCCAGCCAUCCCGCGUGUGUGAUGAAGGCCUUCGGGUUGUAAAGUACUUUUGGCAGGGAGGCGUUACUCGCAGAAGAAGCACCGGCUAACUCCGUGCCAGCAGCCGCGGUAAUUC